GACGAACGCUGGCGGCGUGCUUAACACAUGCAAGUCGAACGGAAAGGCCCCUUUGGGGGUACUCGAGUGGCGAACGGGUGAGUAACACGUGAGUAACCUGCCCUUGACUUCGGGAUAACUUCAGGAAACUGGGGCUAAUACCGGAUAGGAAUCCUUGCUGCAUGGUGGGGGUUGGAAAGCUUCGGCGGUUUUGGAUGGACUCGCGGCUUAUCAGCUUGUUGGUGGGGUAGUGGCUUACCAAGGCUUUGACGGGUAGCCGGCCUGAGAGGGCGACCGGCCACAUUGGGACUGAGAGACGGCCCAGACGCCUACGGGGGGCAGCAGUGGGGAAUAUUGCACAAUGGGCGGAAGCCUGAUGCAGCAACGCCGCGUGCGGGAUGACGGCCUUCGGGUUGUAAACCGCUUUCAGCAGGGGCGAAGCUUGUGGUGACGGUACCUGCAGAAGAAGCACCGGCUAACUACGUG
rnacentral:rRNA from 1 species